rfam:Aedes aegypti strain Liverpool supercont1.101 genomic scaffold, whole genome shotgun sequence.
UGCCCAGCAACUCCUAUCCCUACCUCCUCGCGGUACUGGCCGGGGUACGAGUAACCUUGGGGAAGA